rnacentral:rRNA from 1 species
AUUGAACGCUGGCGGCAGGCCUAACACAUGCAAGUCGAACGAGUGGCGGACGGGUGAGUAAUGUCUGGGAAACUGCCUGAUGGAGGGGGAUAACUACUGGAAACGGUAGCUAAUACCGCAUACUAUCGGAUGUGCCCAGAUGGGAUUAGCUGGUAGGUGGGGUAACGGCUCACCAAGGCGACGAUCCCUAGCUGGUCUGAGAGGAUGAUCAGCCACACUGGGACUGAGACACGGCCCAGACUCCUACGGGAGGCAGCAGUGGGGAAUAUUGCACAAUGGGCGCAAGCCUGAUGCAGCCAUGCCGCGUGUAUGAAGAAGGCCUUCGGGUUGUAAAGUACUUUCAGCGGGGAGGCGUUACCCGCAGAAGAAGCACCGGCUAACUCCGUGCCAGCAGCCGCGGUAAUUC